rnacentral:rRNA from 1 species
GAUGAACGCUAGCUACAGGCUUAACACAUGCAAGUCGAGGGGCAGCAUGGUCUUAGCUUGCUAAGGCCGAUGGCGACCGGCGCACGGGUGAGUAACACGUAUCCAACCUGCCGUCUACUCUUGGACAGCCUUCUGAAAGGAAGAAUUAAUACAAGAUGGCAUCAUGAGUCCACAUGUUCACAUGAUUAAAGGUAUUCCGGUAGACGAUGGGGAUGCGUUCCAUUAGAUAGUAGGCGGGGUAAUGGCCCACCUAGUCUUCGAUGGAUAGGGGUUCUGAGAGGAAGGUCCCCCACAUUGGAACUGAGACACGGUCCAAACUCCUACGGGAGGCAGCAGUGAGGAAUAUUGGUCAAUGGGCGAGAGCCUGAACCAGCCAAGUAGCGUGAAGGAUGACUGCCCUAUGGGUUGUAAACUUCUUUUAUAAAGGAAUAAAGUCGGGUAUGCAUACCCGUUUGCAUGUACUUUAUGAAUAAGGAUCGGCUAACUCCGUGCCAGCAGCCGCGGUAAUACGGAGGAUCCGAGCGUUAUCCGGAUUUAUUGGGUUUAAAGGGAGCGUAGAUGGAUGUUUAAGUCAGUUGUGAAAGUUUGCGGCUCAACCGUAAAAUUGCAGUUGAUACUGGAUAUCUUGAGUGCAGUUGAGGCAGGCGGAAUUCGUGGUGUAGCGGUGAAAUGCUUAGAAAUCACGAAGAACUCCGAUUGCGAAGGCAGCCUGCUAAGCUGCAACUGACAUUGAGGCUCGAAAGUGUGGGUAUCAAACAGGAUUAGAUACCCUGGUAGUCCACACGGUAAACGAUGAAUACUCGCUGUUUGCGAUAUGCAGCAAGCGGCCAAGCGAAAGCGUUAAGUAUUCCACCUGGGGAGUACGCCGGCAACGGUGAAACUCAAAGGAAUUGACGGGGGCCCGCACAAGCGGAGGAACAUGUGGUUUAAUUCGAUGAUACGCGAGGAACCUUACCCGGGCUUAAAUUGCAGAUGAAUUACGGUGAAAGCCGUAAGCCGCAAGGCAUCUGUGAAGGUGCUGCAUGGUUGUCGUCAGCUCGUGCCGUGAGGUGUCGGCUUAAGUGCCAUAACGAGCGCAACCCUUGUUGUCAGUUACUAACAGGUUCCGCUGAGGACUCUGACAAGACUGCCAUCGUAAGAUGUGAGGAAGGUGGGGAUGACGUCAAAUCAGCACGGCCCUUACGUCCGGGGCUACACACGUGUUACAAUGGGGGGUACAGAGGGCCGCUACCACGCGAGUGGAUGCCAAUCCCAAAAACCUCUCUCAGUUCGGACUGGAGUCUGCAACCCGACUCCACGAAGCUGGAUUCGCUAGUAAUCGCGCAUCAGCCACGGCGCGGUGAAUACGUUCCCGGGCCU